AAGACGCCCGGGGAGGAAAACGGGACCUGAUGCUCCACCCGGCGCGAUUCCUCCUUCUCCUCCUACUCCUCCUCAGCCGAGGGCGCCGGCCGCUGCUGCCUUCGAGGGCGAGCUUCGGGAAGGGAGGAUGAACGAGGGUGAACAGGGCGGCCGAGGACCCGAAGGGGGCUUUUCUCCGCAGCAACAGCAUCACGAGUUUCAGUUCCCAGGAGUCCGCCGCCGCCACGACAUGAGCCAGGCUUUCUUCUUCGGCGCGUGGCGAAGCCCUCCUCCCCUUCGCCACACCUGGGCUCGCCCCCGGCCCUCGCCGCCCUCGCCCCCUCGGAGGAUGCCCCAGCCUGGUGCUGCGGGGUCGCGGAAGGCCGGUGGCUCCUCAGGAUAGGCGCUCCCUUUUGUGCGGUGCAGUUGCUGCUGCCGUGCGGUCCCCUCGUCCUUCGACGGGCAGGGACGAGCCAGCCGGGCAGAUGUUGCAGCUGUUUGCAGUUAAAUGCCUAGGCUCUUCUCUAGAGAGGGGAGCGUUUGCAAGCCAUUGUUUCCUGGAGGGAUGCAGCAGCCCAGCCUAGUAAAUAACCGAUCUCAACAGGUGGAGCUUACCUCCAACCGGGAUAUCUUCUAGUUUAAUUGUCCAGGCUGUAGCCCCUGCAGGUUUGACCUAAAAGACAAAGUGGCCUAGUCUUUGUGGCAAUACAAGUGCUGUGAUAAAUGAACACUACCUUUUAGAGGUAGAAAAGAAAGAGAACCAUCUGCGAUUCAAGUUUAAAAACAUAAACAAAAUAAAAACAAAAUCCUGCAUGGGUCCGAGCAUAGUUCUACAGAAGCAAUGUUAGCUUUGAUUGGAGGCAAUUUACUGCAAGUUGCUUCCCUGGCAUUACAUGUCAAAACAUUCUAGUUCUAAGCAGUUUUUACUACUGAGAGCCGUACAUCUCGCCCAGGAAUUAAAACACAGCAAAGUAAUGUGGAAAACCUUAGAGAGAAAGGUUUUUUUUUUCUACUUAGGUUGUUGAGGAACUAAACGUUUAGGGUUAGACCUCUGAUUCAUUAAAUCUCACAGACUAACGGAUCUACAGUCCUGUUUCAGGAGCUUGGUAAAAAGUAGACGGCAGGGUUUCCAUAGACGCCUCAUUGGUGAUUCAACAUGUUACCUUUAGGUUUCUCUCAACUUUUCCCCUCAUUCCAUCCCCCAAAGGUUAGGAGUAUCACUGUUGUUAUAUUCUUAUAUAAAAACACACCCUCAACAUCCUUGUAUAGCCUGUAUCAAAAUUUUGAUCUUUUGUGGCAGGGGACUCCCAGAACUAAACCCAAAAGGAGGAGUAGGUGUUUUUAGUGUGGAGCUCCGGGCUAGGUAUAAAGUAGGUGUUCAAAACAUUGCAAGUGAUAUGGUGGUAAAAAUCAAAUACAUUUGAAAAGAUCGAACUUGUUUUAUGAUAUUCAUGAAUUCAUACAUGGAUUUUUUUUUUUUUACAUAACUGGCCAUUUGUGUAUUUUACACAAAUAAUCAUUUCUCUUUUUAAUACUACAAUAGCUUUUGUUGCAAGUAACACAGCUGUUUCAUAGCCACCAUCCAUGGUUGAAAUGCAACUCUGACAUGCUUUUCCAACAGUUUUUGAAUGGAAAAGAGAACAUAUCCUCACGAGUUAAAACUGCAAUGGAAUGUACAAAGGCAAAAAAGUGCUUCUCUGAGCUACACUGUGAAAGAAAAUGUGCUCGAUCUCCCCAAAUGUUGCCUUAGGUCAAAGUUUUAAAUUAACCCAAGCAACAACCCAGCACCCCUUGGGCCACCUAAAUACCCACUGUGAUUGUGCUGAUAGGCUUCCAAGCAGAAGAAACACGUAUAAUAAAGUCUUCCAUAGUU
ensembl:lncRNA